CAGAAACACAUGAUUGUUUAACAGAGUAUAUUAUGGAAAAUGGCAGUGUUAAUAGUCUCUGCGGAGUUCUAGCUGGGGAAAAGUACAUUAUAGCCUUGCCAAGGCAGGGGGCUGUUUUUACAGGUAGAGUUCUGGUACCCAGAGAUGCAGUCUUCAAAGGAUGAGAGGAAGAUGGGGACAGAGUCUGCCAGUGAAUGAAGUCAGAAACUUGGAGGCCCAGAACUGGCUAGAAUCAAGAUCGUGGCAGAGUUGUGCUCUGUUUUGGAUGCCCUAGAUUCGGACACGACUGAGCGACUGAACUGAACUGAACUGAACUGAGUGGAGAAUCUGUUCCCCACCCCUCCCAGUUU